CCAGACUCCUACGGGAGGCAGCAGUGGGGGAUAUUGCACAAUGGGGGGAACCCUGAUGCAGCGACGCCGCGUGGGUGAAGAAGCGCCUCGGCGCGUAAAGCCCUGUCAGCAGGGAAGAAAAUGACGGUACCUGAAGAAGAAGCCCCGGCUAACUACGUGCCAGCAGCCGCGGUAAUACGUAGGGGGCAAGCGUUAUCCGGAUUCACUGGGUGUAAAGGGAGCGUAGACGGCGACGCAAGUCUGGAGUGAAAGCCCGGGGCCCAACCCCGGGACUGCUCUGGAAACUGCGUCGCUGGAGUACAGGAGGGGCAGGCGGAAUUCCUGGUGUAGCGGUGAAAUGCGUAGAUAUCAGGAGGAACACCGGCGGCGAAGGCGGCCUGCUGGACCGUGACUGACGUUGAGGCCCGAGAGCGUGGGGAGCAAACAGGAUUAGAUACCCCAGUAUAG
rnacentral:rRNA from 1 species